AGAAUUAGUUCAGCUCCUCAGACCAGCCUGGCAGGUCCCACCUCAACUCUUUCUGAUUGGCAGAGAGAUUCCACCCUCGAGGUUGUCUGGGCGACUAUUGGCCAGUAGUCCAAUCAGUCAGGUGUCAUCUCUUUGCUCUUUGGAACAAGUAAACAAACAAGUAUUGCUCAAGAAGGGUGCAGGAGCUAUUCUCAGAAAGGAUGCAAGCAGGCGGAUUUUGAAGCUGACUCUCAGUAGAUUGCAGUCUUUAGGCUCCUGCGAGGUGGAUUUGAGAGAACCUAUACUCCUGCAUUAUCGUUUUGCCCAAUUUGAAUAAGCCUUUCUCCAUCUCCAAGAACCAAUGUCUCAGCAAUUGGCUUACUGUGCAUGGGCACACUCACUUGAGGUUAAGAGGUUGGUAUCAUUCUUUGUAAAGGCUACAGUUCUGUAUAAGGGAUUGUAAAAGUACUCAAGGACACACGAAGCUCCCAGGGUUCCAUGUGGAAUAGUUCUCUGCUACACACCGAGUCUUUUCCCGCUGCUUCCUUUCCACCAAUAUGGAUUACCGAAGCUCUCACAGCCAUCUUUUCUUUCUGUUCUGUGGCCAGCACUAAUUCAAUCCCUCAGCAUCUUUGUGGGUUAUUGUACACAGCCUUCUGUAUUACUGCUGUCCAGAAUACAUAGAUAUAGAUUUUUCUUUUAUAGUUGCAUGAUUCAAAUUACGAACAUAGUUUAACCAUUCUUCUGAAAAUGGAAAUUUAACCAAAUUAGUUUGUACAUUUUCAUAUACUCUCAACUCCUCUAGGAGAAAAUUGUAUUUUAUUAAUAGGGCCUAGUAGAGAGUAGAUAGAUUAAAAAAAUAAUAAACUGAUCAAACUAUAACAGUGGCAAGGAUCAUGCUUUGGAAUCUAUGGAUCCACGCAGAGCAUAGCACAGAGGCUAGUGAGGCAUUCCGUAAUAUUUAUUACCUUAGUUGAUGUAUUUUUGUUAGCUGAGAUACUUGCUAGCUUGGAUCAUCAUGGUGGUAAUCCACCAGUAAUCUCAAAAUCUGCUUCUUGUUCCUUGAUUUUUAGCCUUUUAGCUAGUUCAUUUGUUCUGUUUUUUCUUUCAGCAAACAUUUAUUGAGUAAACAUUCACUGAUUCCUAAUGUGUGUUAGCAUAUCUAUCUCGAGACAGGGAACAUCUCUAGUAAGGUUGGUACCGUCAUGCAAAAUAACCAAUAACCAUUCUAUAGAUAAGAGAGAUGAGGUGAGUUGUACUUGAGCCAGAGUGAGGAUUACAACCCAGGAGGGCCUUUUCCAGAAAGGAAGAAAGCCUUUUGGAGAAGCUUGGUUUUCAGUACAGUCUUAUACCUUUUAGAGCAAAGAAUAUACAUUAAACUCACCGAGAAUACAUGUUCAUCAAAGUUUCAGCCAUAUUCAUUUGCAAAUUAUCAGGUCAACAUGACCCUAAGGUCGGGAAAGGGACUAAUAUGGGCUGGUGUUACCAACAGGGUAUUACCGAUAGGGCCUUACCAAUAGGGCGUAGGAGGGGAAGUAUGCGUUUUAUCUUAAGAGAAGUAAAUGCAUUCUUUAAUGGUUAAAGCUGAUAUACAAUGUAUGUGUGAUAGGCCAUAAGUCAGCCCUUUUAGUUGAAGCCGAAUCAGUUUUGAACUCAAAUAGUCACCCCAUAUACCUAAAUAUGUGAAAAUCUCUUGUCAGUACAAAAGGAAGCACGUGUUUGUAAUAAAACCAUAUGAUGGUGCUGUGAUAAAGGGACCCUGCUUCCUAGAAGGAGGUGCCAUUUGAGGACAAGGAGGAAGGGGAUUGGGUGUUUAAUGGCACAGCCUGGAGUCUUCCUGGCAGAGCAAAGCAGCAGAGACGUGACAAGGCACUUCCGCUGAGGAAGUGGAUGGCUCAAAUUGAGGGACGUGUGUGGGGACAGGAGACCGGCCAGACUGGGAGUUUUGGACCAGACUGGGAGGCACUUUAUGUGAUGGGAUAGGGAGUCAAUAGGGCAAUUAAAUAUUUUAAAUAGGUGAGUGAUGCGAUGACUCGGCUUCAGUUGACGUGUUGCUAUUUGAAGGAAGCGUCCUGACCGCAGCUUGGAGGACGGAUUGAAAAGCCGUCUAGACGCAGGGGGGUCAGUGAGGGGAUGUUUGUCAAUUGUGUGGACCUGAGAGAGGCAAGGUUUGAACUAAGGCAUUGUCGUUGCCGUCUGAAGAUGUGCUUUCCUGUUUAUGGGAUUCUGUGGACCAGGCAGGGUCCGCAGUCCUCUUUUCUCCUUCGAGACCUCCUUAUGCCGCUGGGAGUGAACAGCCAGGAAUUUGUGGAGGCUGGGCCCAGGGUACUGGCAGGGUCGCUAAUUUCCUGUUUGAUCAGACCCCACACACCACCAUAAGCACUGGGGUGGCUUCCAUUUAGACUCUGGGCAAUUCCUCCAGCACUUCAGGCAUUCAAGGAAGUGUUGACCAGGACGGAGCUGGGCCCACCCAGUUAUAGACAGACCCCUGUAACCGUAUGCACACCCCUGGCCCUCCUCUCUGGAAACAAGGACGGCAAUAACAAAUUUCUUGUUAUCAGGAGCUGUUAAGGUGAAGCCGCUGUCACGAGGCUCUGGGCCUGCCUCCGACAGCACACGUGCCCCGGAGCACAGUAAACAUGGUAAUUAGGGCACACGAUCACCACAGAUGACACAGGAUGCCACAGCUGGCGUGAUUUCCCCUUCGCAUUGCAAUAAGGGUAGACACGAUUGAAUGUCAGCUUUUAGAUAAAAGAAAGGGCUGAGAGGCACAAUUCUGGGUUCCAUCUGGCUUAAGUAGUCCGGACGGAGUGCGGCAGAAGUUUGCAUCUCUACGCUGGCCGCCCA
ensembl:lncRNA